CUAAUGAGUCCCUGUUCUUCGGUUAUUUCAUUGGAGACCUGUUCACCCUUUGAUGGACCUCUUCAUCGUCGUCUCUGGUAAUGGUGGUAGUGAACAUGCUCUGACUCAGGCUGCAAAUCUCUGAUUCCUGUUAGAUGUCUCCAUUGUUAUUGUAAAUGGAGGAUUUUGUUACUGAGAUGUAAAAGGUUUUGGCAUUGGUUCUCCUGAGGGUCCUAUAUCUCUUGAUGGUUUUUGAAGUAUUCAACUGUCAAACACGGAAUUGAGGAAGCAAUUAGAAAAUCAAGUUGUUACAAUUGAUACAUUGCACAAUGAGAAUUGUCUGGCUGUUGAGCGUCAUGAAAACGAAAAGAAAGUAUUGAAAGAAUCAGUUGCAAGAGCUUACCUUGAUGAACUGAGUUAGUUGCAUCACAUUCUGGAGAUUAAACAGAAGGAGCUUGUAGAGGUCAAUAGAAUAUCGGCACAAACAAAACAUGCUAUUGAAGACUUUAAUGAAAGGCUCAAUGGUACAACGCUGUCAUGUUCUGAAGCAAAUGAAAUAGCGAAUAGGUAACAAGGAGAAGAAUAAAUUUUACAGUUGAUAACAGUGAGCCGAGCCCGACGGGGCAGCGGAUUGGAUUCUCUGUUUCCUCCUGUAGUCUUGUAUCUGAGAAGUAUGGGAAGCUAGCUAGCUCAAUUUAAAAUUUAUACAUCUCUCACUCUUCAGGAGUUUUGAAUCAUGUUGUAUGUUUAUGUUGUACGCUAUGCUAGCCAUAUAUUUUUUUUAUUAUGAAAAAAGUGAAUUCAUUGAGAACAAUUAUGUUUCUGAAAAAUAAAA